UAAUAUUUGAUGCCCCUCCAUACUUCAACAUUAAGAAAACUGAUGUAAGAAAAUGAAGUGCUAGAAUUUCUCUUUAAGCUAUUUCCAAGAUAUUACUUAGACCGUGAUGGUUUGGGUUUUAUCAGGGCAUCUCUGAUAAGAUUGUAGCAGUAAGUUACUGAUGAUUGUGGACUCAGUUUUAAGAUAUCACUGUGAAGGAAGCACUACUGUGAUAGCAGCUAAGAGUGGUGUUAAACUUAUUAAAAUGAGAAAAUUCAAGGACUAGAGCUGGAAAAAAUGUACUAGAAAUUUAUAAGAGUAUUGAAUGGUGACCAAAUACUAAGUUUUACAGCAGCAUGAUUUGGCUUUAAGAAAAUAUGGAAGCCUUACCAUCAUCUAUGAAUUGGAGGCAAAAUUUUGAAAAUUUGUCCAUAUUAAAUAUCUCACUACAUAACUGUCCAAGGAAAUAAGCAGUUAUAUUUGUCCAAAGUGAAAAAAUAAUAAAUUUUAUACAUUCAAGUCAUAUCCUCAAGAAAAUUAUUGUCAGACUUCAGGAUGGAGAAGAUAACACUGGAUGUCCAUGAAAGCAGCCUCUUCAUACGACGCAAGAAAGCAGCAGCUCAAGGGCAAGAAAGAAAUAGCAAUACUUCCCUGCAUCACAGCACUUCCCAGCCACAACACCACACCGCUUCUUCCCACCAUAAUGCUCCGCAAACUCUUUCCCAACAUGCUUCUCUCUCCCACUACAAGAAUCCCCAUCCAGUUCCCCAAGCUCAUCCUUACUCCUAUGUCACUCCUGAAAUGCAUCCUCAACCACAAAAUGCUUCCUUCCACUACAUCACUCCCCAGUCUCUUCCACAACAUGAUGUUCCAUCCUUUGACACUACUCAGCAACUCCCACAGCCUCACACUGCAUCUUCUCUACAUUCACCCUUCCAACACAGCUCUACUCUUCAUCAUCCUAAUUCUUCCCAGAAAAUUCCCAUCCAGAGAACAUCUUCAACAAACCCAAAUCCUAGUCAUUCCCCAUCUCGACCUCAGCACCUCCCAUUGAAGAACAUUGCUACUCCUUAUCCUUCACAUCCAUUUCCAUUGCAUGUGAAUGAGUCACCUUAUGGUGUUCCAUUGAGAAGCUCAGGACCUCAAGCAAGUUAUCCUGAUGAUUUUACUAGGAGAUUUCCUCCUAAUCCCAAGGGCACUCCACCCCCCAAACCCCCAAGGCAGAUGGACUUACGACCUGUGAAUCACACAGGGGAUGUACACUUGAGAAAGGAGGUAAAGGAUAAGUACCUUGCAAAUUUAGACUACGAUCUGGCUGUAAAUGAUAGCCCACCAGACUUCAGUCCCCCACCAAUUGAUGCUAGAAAGGAAGAUAACCUGCACAGUAUGUCCCUUGACGCCAUGUCCUGCACCCGUUGUGGGGACGGGUUUGAGCCACAGGAGAAGAUUGUCAACUCUAAUGGGCAGCUGUGGCACACUCAGUGCUUUGUGUGUGCCCAGUGCUUUCGGCCAUUCCCCGAUGACAUUUUUUAUGAGUUUGAGGGAAGGAAGUAUUGUGAGCAUGAUUUCCAAGUGCUCUUUGCUCCAUGCUGCAACAAGUGUAAUGAAUUUAUCAUUGGGCGAGUGAUCAAGGCAAUGAGCAGCAACUGGCACCCACAUUGUUUCACCUGUGAACUGUGUCACAAGGAGCUGGCUGAUCUGGGAUUCAUCCGCAAUGCUGGCCGAGCUCUGUGCCACGAGUGCAAUGCUCGUGUCAAAGCUGAGUCCCAGGGGAAGUACAUGUGUCAUAAAUGCCAUUCCACAAUUGAUGGACAGCCUUUGAGAUGGAGGGGCGACACCUUCCACCCUUACCACUUCAACUGUGCUUCUUGUGGGAUAGAAUUGACUGCUGAUGCCAGAGAAGUCAAGAGCCGUCCAGGAUAUACUGCCAAUGAAAUGAAUGAGUUAUACUGUCUGCGAUGCCAUGAUAAGAUGGGCAUCCCAAUCUGUGGUGCAUGUCGCCGUCCGAUUGAAGAGCGAGUUGUCACUGCCCUUGGGAAACAUUGGCAUGUGGAGCACUUUGUGUGUGCCAAGUGUGAGAAGCCGUUUAUGGGAAACCGCCACUAUGAACGCAAGGGUCUGGCAUACUGUGAGACCCACUACCAUGAGCUGUUUGGAAACCUGUGCUUUGUCUGCAAUACUGUUAUUUAUGGUGAUGUGGUGACAGCCCUCAACAAGGCAUGGUGUCAGCAUCACUUUGCCUGUGCCACUUGUGACAUCAAGAUGACCCAGAAGACCAAAUUCUUUGAGUUUGAUCAAAAGCCAAUCUGUAAGAAAUGCUAUGAGAAGUUCCCUCAGGAGUUGAAGAAAAGACUAAAAAAGCAGCAUGACAUCCAAGCCCGAGGAGGAAAGCCUCUCCCUUAACUUCUCACUAUUACCAAUACAGUUUGGUGUCUACACCACCACCACCACUAACACAACCAAUCAUUAGAGGAGUGGUAAACACCUUGUGAGAGACAGCAGCUGUAUCAUCCUUACGCAGGGCAGAAGGUACAAUGGCAGAGGAGUGACCUUCGCUGUGAGCUCCAACCCCUGCUCCCUCACCAGUCGUAGUAGCACUGCUAAGCCCCUGGUCCGAAGGUCCAGCCCUGAUUCCUCUCCAACUUGAAGUUGCUUCAGGGGUUCCACUCAGAGCAGGUGUCAACAUCUUGGCAGGGGUUCGACCAGAAGAUGAAGUCCGAGCCGGGAAUCCCUCCGAGGCCUGAAGCUCCAGCAGCACUGGAUGCAGCACUAUCACUAGGCCGAUCCUUGAUGACAAGCCGCGUGUGACGAAAGUAUGCCGUAGCCAGCAUAGAGUUUUGUUUUAAUUUUUUCCUCCCCUCCUCCAUGAUAAGCGUCAGUGGAGGAGGUAGGCAAAGAUAGAAGAAAUUUUUUUUGCCUACUUAUCAAUGCAUGAAAAUAUAUGAAAUAACAGCAAAA
rnacentral:misc_RNA from 1 species